UACGUAGGGCGCAAGCGUUGUCCGGAAUUAUUGGGCGUAAAGAGCUCGUAGGUGGUGUGUCGCGUCUGCCGUGAAAGCCCGGGGCUUAACUCCGGGUCUGCGGUGGAUACGGGCAGACUAGAGGCAGGUAGGGGAGAACGGAAUUCCCGGUGUAGCGGUGAAAUGCGCAGAUAUCGGGAGGAACACCGGUGGCGAAGGCGGUUCUCUGGGACGGUACUGACGCUGAGACGCGAAAGCGUGGGGAGCGAACAGG
rnacentral:rRNA from 1 species